UUCCGGAUGGCGCAAUGGUUAACGCGCCUGCCCAGUAAGCAGAAGAUCCUGGGUUCGAAUCCCAGUUUGGUAC